GGUUAAGCGACUAAGCGUACACGGUGGAUGCCCUGGCAGUCAGAGGCGAUGAAGGACGUGCUAAUCUGCGAUAAGCGUCGGUAAGGUGAUAUGAACCGUUAUAACCGGCGAUUUCCGAAUGGGGAAACCCAGUGUGAUUCGUCACACUAUCAUUAACUGAAUCCAUAGGUUAAUGAGGCGAACCGGGGGAACUGAAACAUCUAAGUACCCCGAGGAAAAGAAAUCAACCGAGAUUCCCCCAGUAGCGGCGAGCGAACGGGGAGCAGCCCAGAGCCUGAAUCAGUGUGUGUGUUAGUGGAAGCGUCUGGAAAGGCGCGCGAUACAGGGUGACAGCCCCGUACACAAAAAUGCACAUGCUGUGAGCUCGAUGAGUAGGGCGGGACACGUGGUAUCCUGUCUGAAUAUGGGGGGACCAUCCUCCAAGGCUAAAUACUCCUGACUGACCGAUAGUGAACCAGUACCGUGAGGGAAAGGCGAAAAGAACCCCGGCGAGGGGAGUGAAAAAGAACCUGAAACCGUGUACGUACAAGCAGUGGGAGCACAGAGCAAUCUGUGUGACUGCGUACCUUUUGUAUAAUGGGUCAGCGACUUAUAUUCUGUAGCAAGGUUAACCGAAUAGGGGAGCCGAAGGGAAACCGAGUCUUAACUGGGCGUUAAGUUGCAGGGUAUAGACCCGAAACCCGGUGAUCUAGCCAUGGGCAGGUUGAAGGUUGGGUAACACUAACUGGAGGACCGAACCGACUAAUGUUGAAAAAUUAGCGGAUGACUUGUGGCUGGGGGUGAAAGGCCAAUCAAACCGGGAGAUAGCUGGUUCUCCCCGAAAGCUAUUUAGGUAGCGCCUCGUGAAUUCAUCUCCGGGGGUAGAGCACUGUUUCGGCAAGGGGGUCAUCCCGACUUACCAACCCGAUGCAAACUGCGAAUACCGGAGAAUGUUAUCACGGGAGACACACGGCGGGUGCUAACGUCCGUCGUGAAGAGGGAAACAACCCAGACCGCCAGCUAAGGUCCCAAAGUCAUGGUUAAGUGGGAAACGAUGUGGGAAGGCCCAGACAGCCAGGAUGUUGGCUUAGAAGCAGCCAUCAUUUAAAGAAAGCGUAAUAGCUCACUGGUCGAGUCGGCCUGCGCGGAAGAUGUAACGGGGCUAAACCAUGCACCGAAGCUGCGGCAGCGACGCUGAUGCGUUGUUGGGUAGGGGAGCGUUCUGUAAGCCUGCGAAGGUGUGCUGUGAGGCAUGCUGGAGGUAUCAGAAGUGCGAAUGCUGACAUAAGUAACGAUAAAGCGGGUGAAAAGCCCGCUCGCCGGAAGACCAAGGGUUCCUGUCCAACGUUAAUCGGGGCAGGGUGAGUCGACCCCUAAGGCGAGGCCGAAAGGCGUAGUCGAUGGGAAACAGGUUAAUAUUCCUGUACUUGGUGUUACUGCGAAGGGGGGACGGAGAAGGCUAUGUUGGCCGGGCGACGGUUGUCCCGGUUUAAGCGUGUAGGCUGGUUUUCCAGGCAAAUCCGGAAAAUCAAGGCUGAGGCGUGAUGACGAGGCACUACGGUGCUGAAGCAACAAAUGCCCUGCUUCCAGGAAAAGCCUCUAAGCAUCAGGUAACAUCAAAUCGUACCCCAAACCGACACAGGUGGUCAGGUAGAGAAUACCAAGGCGCUUGAGAGAACUCGGGUGAAGGAACUAGGCAAAAUGGUGCCGUAACUUCGGGAGAAGGCACGCUGAUAUGUAGGUGAAGUCCCUCGCGGAUGGAGCUGAAAUCAGUCGAAGAUACCAGCUGGCUGCAACUGUUUAUUAAAAACACAGCACUGUGCAAACACGAAAGUGGACGUAUACGGUGUGACGCCUGCCCGGUGCCGGAAGGUUAAUUGAUGGGGUUAGCGCAAGCGAAGCUCUUGAUCGAAGCCCCGGUAAACGGCGGCCGUAACUAUAACGGUCCUAAGGUAGCGAAAUUCCUUGUCGGGUAAGUUCCGACCUGCACGAAUGGCGUAAUGAUGGCCAGGCUGUCUCCACCCGAGACUCAGUGAAAUUGAACUCGCUGUGAAGAUGCAGUGUACCCGCGGCAAGACGGAAAGACCCCGUGAACCUUUACUAUAGCUUGACACUGAACAUUGAGCCUUGAUGUGUAGGAUAGGUGGGAGGCUUUGAAGUGUGGACGCCAGUCUGCAUGGAGCCGACCUUGAAAUACCACCCUUUAAUGUUUGAUGUUCUAACGUGGACCCGUAAUCCGGGUUGCGGACAGUGUCUGGUGGGUAGUUUGACUGGGGCGGUCUCCUCCUAAAGAGUAACGGAGGAGCACGAAGGUUGGCUAAUCCUGGUCGGACAUCAGGAGGUUAGUGCAAUGGCAUAAGCCAGCUUGACUGCGAGCGUGACGGCGCGAGCAGGUGCGAAAGCAGGUCAUAGUGAUCCGGUGGUUCUGAAUGGAAGGGCCAUCGCUCAACGGAUAAAAGGUACUCCGGGGAUAACAGGCUGAUACCGCCCAAGAGUUCAUAUCGACGGCGGUGUUUGGCACCUCGAUGUCGGCUCAUCACAUCCUGGGGCUGAAGUAGGUCCCAAGGGUAUGGCUGUUCGCCAUUUAAAGUGGUACGCGAGCUGGGUUUAGAACGUCGUGAGACAGUUCGGUCCCUAUCUGCCGUGGGCGCUGGAGAAUUGAGGGGGGCUGCUCCUAGUACGAGAGGACCGGAGUGGACGCAUCACUGGUGUUCGGGUUGUCAUGCCAAUGGCACUGCCCGGUAGCUAAAUGCGGAAGAGAUAAGUGCUGAAAGCAUCUAAGCACGAAACUUGCCCCGAGAUGAGUUCUCCCUGACUCCUUGAGAGUCCUGAAGGAACGUUGAAGACGACGACGUUGAUAGGCCGGGUGUGUAAGCGCAGCGAUGCGUUGAGCUAACCGGUACUAAUGAACCGUGAGGCUUAACCUU
rnacentral:rRNA from 2 species